UUUCCGGUUGAUCCCGCCGGACCUGACUGCUAUCGGAUUGAUACUAAGCCAUGCGAGUCUUUGUAGUAAUACAAGGCAGACGGCUCAGUAACACGUAGUCAACCUACCCUAUGGACAAGAAUAAUCUCGGGAAACUGGGCAUAAUUCUUGAUAGAUCAUAAUGCCUGGAAUGGUUUAUGGUUAAAAUGAUUCGUCGCCAUAGGAUGGGACUGCGGCCUAUCAGCUUGUUGGUGAGGUAAUGGCCCACCAAGGCGAUUACAGGUACGGGCUCUGAGAGGAGAAGCCCGGAGAUGGGUACUGAGACACGGACCCAGGCCCUAUGGGGCGCAGCAGGCGAGAAAACUUUGCAAUGUGCGAAAGCACGACAAGGUUAAUCCGAGUGAUUUCUGCUAAAGAAAUCUUUUGCCAGUCAUAAAACCACUGGUGAAUAAGGGGUGGGCAAGUUCUGGUGUCAGCCGCCGCGGUAAAACCAGCACCUCAAGUGGUCAGGAUGAUUAUUGGGCCUAAAGCAUCCGUAGCCGGCUUUGUUAGUUUUCGGUUAAAUCCAUGUGCUCAACGCAUGGGCUGCCGAAAAUACUGCAUAGCUAGGGAGUGGGAGAGGUAGACGGUACUCAGUAGGAAGGGGUAAAAUCCUUUGAUCUAUUGAUGACCACCUGUGGCGAAGGCGGUCUACCAGAACACGUUCGACGGUGAGGGAUGAAAGCUGGGGGAGCAAACCGGAUUAGAUACCCGGGUAGUCCCAGCUGUAAACGAUGCAGACUCGAUGAUGCAUUGGCAUAAUAGCCAGUGCAGUGUCGCAGGGAAGCCGUUAAGUCUGCCGCCUGGGAAGUACGUACGCAAGUAUGAAACUUAAAGGAAUUGGCGGGGGAGCACCACAAGGGGUGAAGCCUGCGGUUCAAUUGGAGUCAACGCCGGAA
rnacentral:rRNA from 1 species